UGGGCUGUAGCCAAGCGGUAAGGCAACGGGUUUUGGUCUCGUCAUGCGAAGGUUCGAAUCCUUCCAGCCCAG
rnacentral:tRNA from 1 species